CCAGAAAUGUAUGAGUCAUGAUACAAAUGCAAAGAAAAAAAAAAUUAUCUAUUAAGCUGGACUUUUUUUAUUUUUUGUGCUCUGUGGUGACUCCACCUUUAGUUUCAGAUCCACUUUUUACGUAUUACUGAGAACCAUUUCACAAAAUAACCUGGAAGAAGUCCAAGAGUCUGGUGUUUUCCAGUAUCGUCAUCGGUUUGCCCUCCGUGGGGAAGAUAGCAUGGAUGUUAUCUUAUGAGGACUGAUAAGCAGGCUGCCCCUCGGCCUUAUCAGCAUACAAAAUAAGUGCACAAAGACUACCUAGACUGUUCUCAGAUCAGCCGCUGUUAGCAACCGGCUGAUCUUUGCUUGUACUGGAUGUGUAUUCUUAUUCCUAACUGACCCUAGACCUGAGCAUUAGGCUGCAUGUCACUGAGAAUAUUAAGUUUGCUUGAAACUUAUUGCUAUGAAGGACUAUUUUGUACACAUGUAACCUUAGAAAUUCUGAUGUAGUUUGUGGAAGGUAAUGUCGGAGCAUUGCCAGCAGAUAUAUGCAUCACUUGUUU